UACGUAGGGUGCAAGCGUUGUCCGGAAUUAUUGGGCGUAAAGAGCUCGUAGGCGGUCUGUCGCGUCGGCUGUGAAAACCCGAGGCUCAACCUCGGGCCUGCAGUCGAUACGGGCAAACUAGAGUACUGCAGGGGAGACUGGAAUUCCUGGUGUAGCGGUGAAAUGCGCAGAUAUCAGGAGGAACACCGGUGGCGAAGGCGGGUCUCUGGGCAGUAACUGACGCUGAGGUGCGAGAGCGUGGGGAGCGAACCGG
rnacentral:rRNA from 1 species